rnacentral:rRNA from 1 species
UACGUAGGGGGCGAGCGUUGUCCGGAAUUAUUGGGCGUAAAGGGCGCGUAGGCGGCCUGGCAAGUGGAAGGUGAAAUCCCUCGGCUUAACCGAGGAACUGCCCUCCAAACUGCUUGGCUUGAGUCCGGGAGAGGUGAGUGGAAUUCCCAGUGUAGCGGUGAAAUGCGUAGAUAUUGGGAGGAACACCAGUGGCGAAGGCGGCUCACUGGACCGGAACUGACGCUGAGGCGCGAAAGCGUGGGGAGCAAACGGG